GCGCCGCUCCCUCUUGGCCGGCCGAGCGGUUCCAAAGCCCGGAGUGGCCCUUUAAAAGGCAGUGUCUUGUCCGGAGGGGCGGGCGGGGGGCGCUGACCGCUGCUUGCUCGAGGCCCGGCCCCUCCUCCCUCUCCCCGCGUCCGUCCGUCCCUCCCUCGGUCCCCGCGUAGCUCGCUCGCUCGCUCGCCGGGCGCACGCUCCGCCUCCGUCAGUCGGCGCGGCUGUCUAGUGCGCGGCGUGGAGCCGGAGCCGGGGCCGGACGCGCGGCCGGGGCCGGGGCCGGGGGCUGGGAGAUCGGCGCCCGCCACCGGGCGAGCCUGAGCCGCGAUGGCCGAGAUGGGCAGCAAGGGGGUGACGGCUGGGAAGAUCGCCAGCAACGUGCAGAAGAAGCUCACUCGCGCGCAGGAAAAGGUCCUCCAGAAACUGGGGAAGGCGGAUGAGACAAAGGAUGAGCAGUUUGAACAGUGUGUCCAGAAUUUCAACAAGCAGCUGACUGAGGGCACCCGGCUGCAGAAGGAUCUCCGGACUUACCUGACUUCAGUCAAAGCCAUGCACGAGGCCUCCAAGAAACUGAACGAGUGUCUGCAGGAGGUGUACGAGCCUGAUUGGCCUGGCAGGGACGAGGCGAACAAGAUCGCGGAGAACAACGACCUGCUCUGGAUGGAUUACCACCAGAAGUUGGUGGACCAGGCACUGCUGACCAUGGACACAUACCUGGGUCAGUUUCCUGACAUCAAGUCACGCAUUGCCAAGCGCGGGCGGAAGCUAGUGGACUACGACAGUGCCCGGCACCAUUAUGAGUCCCUACAGACCGCCAAAAAGAAGGAUGAGGCCAAGAUUGCCAAGCCUGUCUCGCUGCUUGAGAAAGCCGCCCCCCAGUGGUGUCAAGGCAAACUGCAGGCUCACCUCGUAGCUCAAACUAACCUGCUCCGAAAUCAGGCCGAGGAGGAGCUCAUCAAAGCCCAGAAGGUGUUUGAGGAGAUGAACGUGGAUCUGCAGGAGGAGCUGCCGUCCCUGUGGAACAGCCGUGUAGGUUUUUACGUCAACACGUUUCAGAGCAUCGCGGGCCUGGAGGAGAACUUCCACAAGGAGAUGAGUAAGCUCAACCAGAGCCUCAGCGACGUGCUGCUCAGCCUGGAGAAACAGCACGGGAGCAACACCUUCACGAUCAAGGCCCAGCCCAGAAAGAAAACAAAACUGUUCUCCCGGCUGCGCAGAAAGAAGAACAGUGACAACGCCCCUGUGAAAGGGAACAAGAGCCCCUCACCGCCACCCGACGGCUCCCCUGCCGCCACCCCGGAGAUCAGAGUCAACCAUGAGCCCGAGCCAGCCGGCGUGGCCACGCCCGGGGCUGCCCUCCCCAAGUCCCCGUCUCAGCUCCGGAAAGGCCCACCAGUCCCUCCGCCUCCCAAACACACCCCGUCCAAGGAGGUCAAGCAGGAGCAGAUCCUCAGCCUGUUUGACGACACGUUUGUCCCUGAGAUCAGCGUGACCACCCCCUCCCAGUUUGAGGCCCCGGGGCCUUUCUCGGAGCAGGCCAGUCUGCUGGACCUGGACUUUGACCCCCUCCCGCCUGUGGCGAGCCCUGUGAAGGCGCCCACGCCCUCUGGUCAGGUUGGUCUGAGCCCACCACUGCCCACGGGCCCGCCUGCCUCUGGGCACCGGGGCCAGGGUUCAUGUCCGCCCACCGGCCGUGUGGGCCUAAAGGGGGUCUGGUGUCUUUGGAGGUCCUGGUGUCACCAGGUUCUCUUCUCACUCUCUGUCCUCUCCCGGAGCCCGGGCCCACAGCUCUUGUCACCUCCUCUGGUCCUGCCCACGGGGAAGGGGAGAGGGCAGACACAGGUCAGCCAGAGGACCCUCAGGAGGAGGUCAGCCGAACACUCACCUGGCAGCUUUCAGUCUGUCUCAGGAUUCUGUCCCGUCCUGGUGGCAGCCCCGGGUGUGUGCACUGCCUGCCAUGGGGUCUCAGCCCCCUGGAAGGUGUCCGGGACUUGGCCCUCUGGAGACCACAGAGCCCAGCUCUGCUCUGCCCUGUCCCUGCUGGGCUCUAGGACCUGGGGCAGUGUGGGAUGGGGCCCCUGGGGCUGCUUGCCUGUCCCCGUCUCUAACCUCUGUGCUAACUCUGCCCUUCUCCCUUCUGCUGCGCUCAGUCAAUUCCGUGGGACCUCUGGGAGCCCACAGAGAGUCCAGCUGGCAGCCUGCCUUCCAGGGAGCCCAGCGCUGCCGAGGGCACCUUUGCUGUGGCCUGGCCCAGCCAGACGGCCGAGCCGGGGCCUGCCCAACCAGCAGAGGCCUCGGAGGUGGCGGGGGGGACCCGCCCUGCGGCUGGAGCCCAGGAGCCCGGGGAGACGGCAGCCAGUGAAGCAGCCUCCAGCUCGCUCCCGGCAGUGGUGGUGGAGACCUUCUCAGGCACUGUGAACGGCGCCGUGGAGGGCGGCAGUGGGGCCGGGCGCUUGGACCUGCCCCCAGGGUUCAUGUUCAAGGUGCAGGCCCAGCAUGACUACACAGCCACCGACACGGACGAGCUGCAGCUCAAGGCUGGGGACGUGGUGCUGGUGAUCCCCUUUCAGAACCCAGAGGAGCAG